rnacentral:ncRNA from 1 species
AAAAAAAUAAUAAGAACAUGAUGUUGGUUCAGAUUAAAUGCUAAAUAAGGACAUGACACAUGCAAAUCAUACGUUAAUUAUAUAAAAAUAAUUAAAAUGUGGUGUAUACGUGAGUAACUAUUAGGAAUUUAGAACUAUAAGAUAAGUUAAAUGCUUAAUAAAGUAAAUAAUAAAUUAUUAUUAUAAAAAUAAUAUAGUAAUAAUAAAUAUUUAUAAAAUGAAAUGAAUAAUUUUGCUUAUAGUCAAGCCAAUAAUGGUUUAGGUAGUAGGUAUAGUAAGAGUUAUACCUAGCCAACGAUCCAUAAUCGAUAAUGAAAGUUAGAACGAUCACGUUGACUCUGAGACAUAGUCAAUAUCUAAAUGAUACAGCAGUGAGGAAUAUUGGGCAAUGAUCGAAAGAUUGACCCAGUUACUUAUUAGGAUGAUAUAUAAUUAUUUAUUAUAUUAUACUUAAAGUAUAAUAUAAUAAAUUAUAUUCUAAAAAAUAUAAAUUUAUAUAUAUAAAUUGAUUAAAAAUAAAGUCCAUAAAUAGUGAAAAUAAUGAUAUUAGCUACCAUAUAUAAUAAAUAUGGAUAAAUAAAAUAUUUAUGAGAUAUAUAUAUUAACAUAUAUAUUAAAUAUAUAUUAUAUUUAUUUUAAUAGUCCUAACCAAGAUUUGUGCCAGCAGCUGCGGUAAGACAAUGGGGGCUAGCAUUAAUCAUAAUGGCUUAAAGGGUCCGUAGAAUGAAUAAUUAUAAAAAUUAGAGUUAAUAAAUUUAAUUAAAGAAUUAUAAUAGUAAGGAUGAAAUGAUAAUAAUCAUUAUAAGACUGGUAUAUGUGAAAAUAUUAAUUAAAUAUUAACUGACAUUGAGGGACGAAAGCUAGAGUAGCAAUACGGAUUCGAUACCCGAGUAGUUCUAGCUGUAAACAAUGAACACCAUUUAUAUAAAUAAUAUAAAUAAAUGAAAAUGAAAGUGUUCCGCCUGAAGAGUACGUUCGCAAGAAUGAAACUCAAGACAAUAGACGGUUACAGACUUAAGCAGUGGAGCAUGUUAUUUAAUUCGAUAAUCCUCGACAAACCUUACCAUAUUUUGAAUAUAUAAUUAACAAAUUUGUUAAUUAUAAACAGGCGUUACAUCGUUGUCUUCAGUUCGUGCCGCAAGGUCUUAGAUUAAGUUCAUUAACGAACAUAACUCCAUAUAUAUAUUUUAAAUUAUAUAUAAUAUUUAUAUCAUUUAUGAUUAAAUGAAAGGAAUUAAGACAAAUCAUGAUGAUCCUUAUAAUAUGGGUAAUAGACGUGCUAUAAUAAAAUGAUAACAAAGUUAUAUAAAAUUUAUUAUCUAAAUUUAAUUAAUAACAUAAAACAUUUUAAUCUUUAAUAUAUUUAUAUAUUAUAUAUAGUAUGAAUUAUAAUCUGAAAUUCGAUUAUAUGAAAUAAGAAUUGCUAGUAAUACGUAAAUUAGUAUGUUACGGUGAAUACUCUAACUGUUUCGCACUAAUCACUCAUCACGCGUUGAAACAUAAUAUUAUCCUAAUAUUUAUUAUUAUAAUAUUUAUAAUAUUUUUUAAUAUUUAUAAAUAUUAUAAUCUAUAUAUAUAAGAAAUAUUACGAAUUAAUGCGAAGUUGAAAUACAGUUACCGUAGGGGAACCUGCGGUGGGCUUAUUAUAAU